rnacentral:rRNA from 1 species
AGAGUUUGAUCCUGGCUCAGGAUGAACGCUGGCGGCAUGCCUAAUACAUGCAAGUCGAACGGACCGAAGGGAAAGCUUGCUUUCCUUGAAGUCAGUGGCGAACGGGUGAGUAACACGUAGGUAACCUGCCCAUGUGCCCGGGACAACGCCUGGAAACGGGUGCUAAAACCGGAUAGGUAGAGAGAUCGCAUGAACUUUCUAUUAAAGGGGCUACGGCCCUGAACAUGGAUGGACCUGCGGUGCAUUAGCUAGUUGGUGAGGUAACGGCCCACCAAGGCGACGAUGCAUAGCCGACCUGAGAGGGCGAACGGCCACAUUGGGACUGAGACACGGCCCAAACUCCUACGGGAGGCAGCAGUAGGGAAUUUUCGUCAAUGGGGGGAACCCUGAACGAGCAAUGCCGCGUGAGUGAAGACGGUCUUCGGAUUGUAAAGCUCUGUUGCGAGAGAAAAACGACACGGAUAGGGAAUGAUCCGUGGGUGAUGGUAUCUCGCCAGAAAGUCACGGCUAACUACGUGCCAGCAGCCGCGGU